rnacentral:ncRNA from 22 species
AUUAUCGGUAGGCGCAUUUGAACUGUAUUGUACGCCUUGCAUAAAGCAAAAGUACUAAAAAAGGAGUAU